rnacentral:tRNA from 1 species
GCGAGAUUAGUAUAAUGUCAGUACGCGUGCUUCCCAAGCAUGUGGCGCGGGUUAGAUUCCCGCAUCUCGCACCA